UCCUAGUUAGUACAGUGGUCAGUAUAUCCGCCUCUCAUUCAAGCUUCGGCUCAGUGGGCGCGGAUGGCCGGGGUUCGAUUCCCCGACUGGGAA